rnacentral:rRNA from 1 species
GACGAACGCUGGCGGCGUGCUUAACACAUGCAAGUCGAACGGAAAGGCCCUGCUUUUGUUGGUUUCUCGAUUGGCGAACGGGUGAGUAACACGUGAGUAUCCUGCCCUUGACUUUGGGAGAACUUCAGGAAACUGGGGCUAAUACCGGAUAGGAUCUCCUGCUGCAUAUUGUGGGUUAGAAAGUUUCGGCUUUUGGAGAUUGACUCGCUGCUUAUCAGCUUGUUGGUCGGGUAGGUGCUUACCAAGGCUUUGACGGCUAGCCGGCCUGAGAGGGUGACCGGCCACAUUGGGACUGCGAUACGGAGCAGACUGCUAUGGGAGGCAGCAGUGGGGAAUCUUGCACAAUGGGGGGAAGUCUGAUGUAGAAACGUCGCGUGCGGGAUGACGGGUUUCGGGUGGUAAACCGAUUUCGAAUGUGACGAAGAGUGAGUGACGGUAAUGGGUAAAGAAGCACCGGCUAACUACGUG